AGUACGGUUUCAGUUUAAUACGGAUUGUCAUGGAAGAAUUUUUUUAGGAUUUUUAAAUUUCCCGCUCGUCGCACCAAGUAGUUUUGGCGUGAGUGGCAACACUGUUGUACCAAAACGCCUGCUGAUAGCACCCCAAAAGUGUUCAAGCUAGGUGUUCACCUUGCAGAAGAAUUCAGAUUUAGGAGAAGUUACGUUUUGGGAUGAGUUACGUUGCCGUAGGGAGAGCAUACCACGUGAAUGAGAGCAGUGUUCGCUGUAUCUAUGAUCUUGAUUUUGGUCUUGAUGUCACAGGUGGCCUGGGAUUUCUCUCUUGGUCUUGAUCUUGGUUCGGGAGGUAGUUGUCCCUUUCGGUCCCAACUACAGCCUUUGAAACGGCUUACUCCCUCAGGGCCAACACCCUGAAAAUCAUAGUGUAAAAGAAAUUCUUGCUGGGCAGCCAUAUUUGCUGAUGAUGUCAUCACAGCAUGAAGGCGCUCCACCUCUCAAAGCCGGGAGCCGGGAGCCGGGAGCCAGCAGACGUGCCGAGUUGGCAACUCGUGCUGCCGCAUCACGCGUUUGAGAGCACUUGGGAUGUUCUGAGAGUCCCGAUUCCCUCUCUCAAACACAGCCCAGGAGUGUUUCUAAGGGGAGCACUAAUUUUACGGAUUUUCGAAUAGUACGGGAAUCCUGGGUCCCUAACCCCCGUACUAUUUGAGGGAUGACUAUAUAUAUAUAUAUAUAUAUAUAUAUAUAUAUAUAUAUAUAUAUAUAUAUAUAUAUAUAUAUAUAUAUAUAUAUAUAUGACACACACACACACACACACACACACACACACACACCUAGUUACUACUAGGUAAACACACACACACACACAUGUACAUUCUUGGGUGGGUGUGAAAGUAUGGGGAUUCAAAAUGCUCUUCAGUGGAAAAGACCUUUGAAGCAAAUUCAUAGUGCCAAUUUAGCAAACAAGGUUGGUUUCCUUUGAGCUCUUCUGCAGUCCUUCACCUUCAUCAGUCUGGUACACUGAGUCAAAUUUUCUGUGAUGAGUAUUAACGAUUGGUUAGAUUACUGUAAGAUAUGAAAUUAUAAUUAGGUACUUAAUUAGAUGGCUAAUGAAGGUUUCCUGUGUUCACAUAACAAAUCUCUUUUAGCAGUAGUUUGAUUUAGACAUCUGAGCCAUGGCUCACUUCAUUAUCAUCUUUGUGUUGGAGAGAAUGACAUGUUCUUUGCAGGAAUGAAGAUGAGCCCCUUAAUCAAGCAGCACUUGCAAAUUGUCUUGUAUCAUAACAGCAUUUUACACAAAUUUUUGCUUGAUAUUUUUUUUAACACAAAUUGUUACUGUUGGCAUUAAUUUGUACAGGAAAGUAAGUGUGUGACUGAUGCCUAAUAUUUUCACAAUACAUGUAAUAUUUUAGAAAAUACUAACGAUGCACAUAGAAAAUUUGUGAAUACAUCUGUGGUAGUGUAAUGUUGCUGAUAUUGUAUUUGAUAAUGAUGAAUUUUAUCAUAUGGAUUUUAUAAUGUACACAUAGUUUGAGCCAUUCAUUGUACUGUUUCCUCGUAGUGUUGAGGAGAGCUUCUGUCAGUUUUCACCACAUGUCCGACAGGUUGCCAAAACGCUGCUGUUCCGUGGCCCACAUAGAGGGUGGAGCAGUCACAACAGUGAGCAAAAGUGUAAUAUUGAUCAUUUACUGGGGAAGUCUUUGCUUCAAUGAACUGAUUUGUGCAGCUUUGUAUUUUAUCAAGCAAGUAAAAAUUGUAAAUAUUAGAAUCAAAAUGAAGUGAUACUGUUUUGGUGAGGAAGAAUUAGGUUCUGUUGAUUUUGUAUUGAUUUGAAAUACAUCUCCUAGUGUAUGUCCAUCCUAGUCCCUUGAUACUGUAGGAGUUUCACUUGGGAAUCAUUGCCGCUGAAGUGGAAUUUGAGUAUCUAGUAGGUAACUUUCCAUAGUAUUAUAUAUAACUUAUUCAUGGGGAUGAGUGUCGAGAAAUGCAACUUGGUUAAGGCUAUAUACAUUAAGGUACAUUGUGCAAGUGAAGGAAUGACAACCCAACAAUUGAGAACCCAACCAGAUGAAUUAACGGUUGUAUGGUGUAGUAGUGCAAAGACUACUACAUAUUAUGAAAUCUAUCUUACAACUCUAACAUGCUUAUCAUCACCCUCGUAAACAAACUGCCUGAGUAAUUUUUCAUCGAUUUUCCAGGUUUUGGGCUAAAUCAAUCAUCUUGUGACACUUUGGCAUAGUAGCCUUUGUCAUUCAAGGUCUGAGUGUUCUAAAAUUUGCCUUUGUGUUUCUGCCAAUGUUAAGAGUCGAAUGAGAAAAUUAGAGUAGGAAAACCAUAGGAAAAGUAGGAAAAAUGACUUAGGCCGUUCGUUUAGGAAGGUGAUGUUAUUAUAGCGAUGUCAAACACAGGCAAGUAUUUUAAUUACGCAUUGGUGAUUAUAGUCUCGUCUUUUGAAGGCUUUGCGUAUGUGUGUAUAUACAGGUUUGUAACAUAAAAUCAAUAAUUGGUACAAUGUGCUAACGAACAUCAAUAAUUUUUGUACUAGUAUUGUGUAUGUGUGUGAGAGAAAUGUUCCUCACACAAGUUUAAGACUGUGAUUUUUAAAGAUAUAUGCAGAGGGUAUGUGACAUCAGCAUUGUGUAUUAGUGUGUGUGUGUGUGUGUGUGUGUUUGUACGAACAAGUUUGUAUGUAAAAUACUAGAUACAUUUGGGUAUGUGCUUGCUUUUGUGUGUGUGUGUGUGAAUAAGAUUGUAUGUAAAAUAAAAUUAAAUAACCUAAACACUUGGACAGUGCUUGCUUUUGUGUGUGUGUGUGUGUGUGUGAAUAAGAUUGUAUGUAAAGUAAAAUGAAAUAACUUAAACACUUGGACAUGUGCUUGCUUUUGUGUGUGUGUGUGUGUGUGUGUGUGUGUGUGUGUGUGUGUGUGUGCUUUGGGCAAAUCAAUUGUAAUAAAAUUUUCUCAUGGACAAGAGCUCUACAAAUAAAAUGUAUUUAAUUUUCUCA